UAACAAUGAUUCCCUCAGUAACGGCGAGUGAACAGGGAAAAGCUCACAGUUGGAACCUAGCUGCCUUAGGUAGUUCGGAUUGUAAACUGAAAAAGUGUUAUCCAGGCUAGCCGAGUAAAAAAGUUUCUUGGAAUAGAACAUCAUGGAGGGUGAGAAUCCCGUCUUUGGCUUGAGCAUAGUCUUUUGUGUUGCACUUUAACGAGUCAGGUUGUUUGGGAAUGCAGCCUAAAGUGGGAGGUAAAUCCCUCCUAAAGCUAAAUAUUGGCGAGAGACCGAUAGCAAACAAGUACCGUGAGGGAAAGAUGAAAAGAACUUUGAAAAGAGAGUUAAACAGUAUGUGAAAUUGCUAAAAGGGAAGCGUUUGAAGACAG
rnacentral:rRNA from 1 species